UUUAAUUGAAGAGUUUGAUUCUGGCUCAGAUUGAACGCUAGCGGCAUGCUUAACACAUGCAAGUCGAACGGCAGCGCGGGGAGCUUGCUCCCUGGCGGCGAGUGGCGGACGGGUGAGUAAUGCGUAGGAAUCUACCUUGUAGUGGGGGAUAACCUGGGGAAACUCGGGCUAAUACCGCAUAAUCUCUUUGGAGCAAAGCGGGGGAUCUUCGGACCUCGUGCUAUAAAGAUGAGCCUACGUCGGAUUAGCUUGUUGGUGGGGUAAUGGCCUACCAAGGCGACGAUCCGUAGCUGGUCUGAGAGGACGAUCAGCCACACUGGGACUGAGAC
rnacentral:rRNA from 1 species